UACGUAGGGUGCAAGCGUUAAUCGGAAUUACUGGGCGUAAAGCGUGCGCAGGCGGUUCUAUAAGACAGAUGUGAAAUCCCCGGGCUCAACCUGGGAACUGCAUUGUGACUGUAGAGCUGGAGUACGGCAGAGGGGGAUGGAAUUCCGCGUGUAGCAGUGAAAUGCGUAGAUAUGCGGAGGAACACCGAUGGCGAAGGCAAUCCCCUGGGCCUGUACUGACGCUCAUGCACGAAAGCGUGGGGAGCAAACAGG
rnacentral:rRNA from 1 species